GCCCGGCUGUUCCGAGCCCCCGGGGGCCGCGUGUGGCCUGCUCCGCUCCUGGCGGAGGCCGAGCCCCCUCGGGCCCUCCCCGCCGCCGCGCCGUGCCGUGCCGUGCCGUGCCCGCCCGCUGCCUGGCUCCUCGAGGGUCGGCCCCGGGGGGACUUUCUCUUGGACCUCGCAAUGCGCAGUGCGAAGGAGCCUCUGAGACAGGCAAGCCGUGCCCGAUUCCUGGAUGCCUCCCAGAGAAUGCACUUUAUGAGGCCGUGUUUUAUUUAUAGCUAACCAACAAACACCCCCCCCCCCCCCCCCGUAUGACCUCCAACAGCUGUUUCCAAAAAGUACUGCCACAGAACUUUUGGUUUUCAAGAAAGAAAUGCUGAGGUAAAGGGAAGGCCAGGAAAUGAGGUCAAUUAAAAAAAGAGCUGAAACCUUG